CUUUGCUCCAGCCCCCAGGCUCUGGCCCCCAGCCUCCUAUGACCCCACAUCGCCCCCCUCCCAACGCCAGCCUUUGCCACGACCAGCUUCCUUGGCAGACCCCAUCCUUACGUCUCCCGCCUCCGGCUCCGCUGUGCAGGCCUGUCUCUGGAAAUUUGAGGUUGGGCCUUUGCCUGACUCUGUUGCUGCUGCUCCCUUUGCUACCGCUGACACUUGGAACCGCCGCCUCCGCGCAGCGGCCAGACGCGGGGCCCGCAGCGGUCCACGCAGUCGGAGAAGGGCACGGACAUUGUCACUCUCCCCACCGUGUGGCAUCGGCCCGCCACCCACGCAGGGGAGUCUGGGCCGGCGCCCCCCUCCCGCGCCCGCCGCAGAUGCAGGGAAAACCGCCUGACAUCAUGAGAGCGGGACAAACGCUCACUUUGAAGGAUUCCUGGGCAGGACUUCAAGUGAAAUCAUAUGCCUGAGAAGAACUUGAUACCGGUCUAGAGAAAAUAACCAGUUCUGAGUUUGCCAAACCGUGGAAUGUGCAAAAUGCUCGACUUUUUUGCAAGAGGCCAAGUGUCCCUUAAAAAGCUCUAUUAUGAAUAUGAGCCUGAAGACUGAAGGAGCAAGAAGCUUGUGCCGUUGUUGAGUGUGGGAAAAAAGUACACACAGUAUGUGAGUUUCUGCUAUUUAACGUUAUUUUAUUAAUAAUAUGUGCCACAUUAGGGAGGGUACCUGCAAUGGUGCAUGAAUUGUCAUCUGUGCAUGUGCUUAGCAAGUGUGUGCAGGAAGAAGGGAAAUGUGUGCAUAUGUUCUCAUAUGAGAACAAAAAUUUACUGCUUUCUUAUGACUGAAGGCUAUCAAUUCAACAAAAUUAAAAGCAAGAUUAAAAAAAUUAUAUAUGUGCACAUUCUUACUCAGUUGCUUAGAAUUCACCCAAGGCAAUUUUAUACAGCAUUUUCUCUCCAGUAAAUGCAUUCUGGCUAAAGGGUAGAGUCCCUCAUCCAGCCACCACGUUAAAUUCUCACUUGUGAAGCAGAGGUAAUUCAUUCUAAUUGUCCUUUAAAUAGAAUAGGUAGCAAAAAUAAAAUGAAAACAGGAAAUAAUGGUAGAGCUAGA
rnacentral:lncRNA from 1 species